GAUGAAGAACGUAGCGAAAUGCGAUAAGUAAUGUGAAUUGCAGAAUUCAGUGAAUCAUCGAAUCUUUGAACGCACAUUGCGCCCGCCAGCAUUCUGGCGGGCAUGCCUGUUCGAGCGUCAUUUCAACCCUCGACCUCCCUUUGGGGAAGUCGGCGUUGGGGACCGGCAGCACACCGCCGGCCCUGAAAUGGAGUGGCGGCCCGUCCGCGGCGACCUCCGCGUAGUAAUCCAACUCGCACCGGAACCCCGACGCGGCCACGCCGUAAAACACCCAACUUCUGAACGUUGACCUCGAAUCAGGUAGGACUACCCGCUGAACUUAAGCAUAUCAAUAAGCGGAGGA
rnacentral:misc_RNA from 1 species